rnacentral:rRNA from 1 species
GACGAACCGUGCGAACGUUGUUCGGAAUCACUGGGCUUAAAGGGCGCGUAGGCGGGCUGCCAAGUCAGAGGUGAAAUCUUUCGGCUUAACCGGAAAAGAGCCCUGAUACUGGCGGCCUCGAGUGGGGUAGGGCACGCGGAACUUCCGGUGGAGCGGUGAAAUGCGUAGAUAUCGGAAGGAACGCCGGUGGCGAAAAGCGGCGUGCUGGACCCUUUCUGACGCUGAGGCGCGAAAGCCAGGGGAGCGGAACGGG